UACGGAGGGAGCUAGCGUUGUUCGGAAUUACUGGGCGUAAAGCGCGUGUAGGCGGCUAAGUAAGUCGGGCGUGAAAUCCCACGGCUCAACCGUAAGAGUGACACUCGAAACUGCAUAGCUAGAGUCCUGGAGAGGAAGGUGGAAUGCUUGGUGUAGAGGUGAAAUUCGUAGAUAUCAAGCGGAACACCGGUGGCGAAGGCGGCCUUCUGGACAGUGACUGACGCUGAGACGCGAAAGCGUGGGGAGCAAACAGGGAUUAAGAA
rnacentral:rRNA from 1 species